AUAACAUAGGGACCACUUAGAGAA
rnacentral:siRNA from 1 species